rnacentral:rRNA from 1 species
UACGUGCCAGCAGCCGCGGUAAUACGUAGGGCGCAAGCGUUAUCCGGAAUUAUUGGGCGUAAAGAGCUCGUAGGCGGUCUGUCGCGUCUGCUGUGAAAACUGGAGGCUCAACCUCCAGCCUGCAGUGGGUACGGGCAGACUAGAGUGCGGUAGGGGAGAUUGGAAUUCCUGGUGUAGCGGUGGAAUGCGCAGAUAUCAGGAGGAACACCGAUGGCGAAGGCAGAUCUCUGGGCCGUAACUGACGCUGAGGAGCGAAAGGGUGGGGAGCAAACAGGCUUAGAUACCCUGGUAGUCCACCCCGUAAACGUUGGGAACUAGUUGUGGGGUCCUUUCCACGGAUUCCGUGACGCAGCUAACGCAUUAAGUUCCCCGCCUGGGGAGUACGGCCGCAAGGCUAAAACUCAAAGGAAUUGACGGGGACCCGCACAAGCGGCGGAGCAUGCGGAUUAAUUCGAUGCAACGCGAAGAACCUUACCAAGGCUUGACAUACACGAGAACGGGCCAGAAAUGGUCAACUCUUUGGACACUCGUGAACAGGUGGUGCAUGGUUGUCGUCAGCUCGUGUCGUGAGAUGUUGGGUUAAGUCCCGCAACGAGCGCAACCCUCGUUCUAUGUUGCCAGCACGUAAUGGUGGGAACUCAUGGGAUACUGCCGGGGUCAACUCGGAGGAAGGUGGGGAUGACGUCAAAUCAUCAUGCCCCUUAUGUCUUGGGCUUCACGCAUGCUACAAUGGCCGGUACAAAGGGCUGCGAUACCGUAAGGUGGAGCGAAUCCCAAAAAGCCGGUCCCAGUUCGGAUUGAGGUCUGCAACUCGACCUCAUGAAGUCGGAGUCGCUAGUAAUCGCAGAUCAGCAACGCUGCGGUGAAUACGUUCCCGGGUCUUGUACACACCGCCCGUCAAGUCAUGAAAGUCGGUAACACCUGAAGCCGGUGGCCUAACCCCUUGUGGGAGGGAGCUGUCGAAGGUG